rnacentral:tmRNA from 1 species
GGGGGCGACUUGGCUUCGACGUGGGUUGCGAAGCAGUGCAGGGCAUACCGAGGACCAGCCACCUCGUAAAUACAACUGGAUCGCUAUAAACGCGAACGACGAUAGUUACGCUCUAGCCGCUUAAUAACCGGCCGGACUCUGCCCCGGUUUUCUCAUGGACCGGCUGGCGCAAGCCAGAGCAGAGUCAUACACAUGAGAUCGUGCCGUGCAGGGUCGCUUUGCACAGCAUCAAAUUCAAGGCGACUCGCCGCGUGCCAGCCUGCCGGUUGGCGUGCCCGCGGCUAAAUCAAAUAACCAGGCUAAGUAUGUAGAACUGGCUGUGUAGGACUUGCGGACAGGGGUUCGAUUCCCCUCGCCUCCACCA